UUCUAGUUUUGGAGAUAUGAAAUGUUUUGUAAAGAGGUGAAAAAAUGCUCAAUUUUUUUUUAUUGUGUGAUCUGAAACGUUAAUGCGUAACGUUUGUUUACCUGUUUUUAUUUUUGUUAUAAGUUAGUUAUAAGCCUAGUAAUGUCGUCUCAGAGUUUAGUAGAAAAGGUACCUUAUGGAAAAAAGAUUGAAAAUUCCCAAAAAAACUAGUCAAUACGGGAAAAGAAGUUUGGUAGAGAACUGUAUUAGCAUUCUGCAAAACUAAUUUGAUAAUUUCAGUUCUGGUUGGGGCGCCUCGCAAAUAUUAUAACCGUACAUAGACCGACAUCACAAAUCCAAGUAGACUGCUAUUAUACCAAAGUUACUCUCGUCAAGUCUUUCUUAACUAGAAUAAUCUUCAUUUGGUUUGGUCGCAUGCAGUAAAUCAGCCAUUGGUUUGCUGAAAAAUGCCAAUACCCGACGCAUUACCUUAUGGAAUAUCUGAGGUCAUUGAACCUCAAUGCCGCUUAUCUUCAAUAGCAACCGAAAUAUAUUAUUGAUAAGAAAUAGACGAUUUAUACCAUAUUAACCCCAAAAUAUUAUUAGUUUAUCCUAACUGUUCCAUCAUCAUCAUGCCUCAUCAUGUAACUUGACCACAAGGUACCUUUUCAUUACAUACAAAUUAUUGGUCUUUUUUAAGAUUAUUAUGACGAAGAACUAAUUAAAUUUGGGGCAGUUUAAUGUAAAUUAAUAUUUUCUAUUCAUACAAGAUAAUCUGUAAUAUGAUUGAUAUUUUGUAGUGAUGUAUUAUUAGAUUUAUUUCCAUAAGGUACCUUUUCGUAAAUGUAUGGAGCAAAUACUGUUAUUGUUAUGUAAGUUUAAAGUGGCAUAAGGGGUUAAAUAUAGUAUUUAGUUGGGGUUUUAGGAUUUAUUUCAUUUGAAUGACAGAAUUUCUUUCAUAUGUGCUCAGAAAAAUUGAUUGUGUGUCACAUUAAAAGUAAAAAUAUUCAAUUUUGUGAUUUUAUAUGAAAAAGUCAGAAAAUACAUUUUCACCUCUAAAUCGGUAUUGUUUUUUGCUUAAACUGUCUGUCAGUGUCGUUUUCUAAUAGAUAAAAUUUAAAUCUUGAGAGCUCAUUGCAAUCAAUCGUAAAAAUGAAAUAAAACUUUAUUUUCAAGAGAUUGGUUAGUAUACACAUAAAUCAGUCGAUAUCAAAAGUUUCUAUUUGCAUUACAGAACAAGUCGCAAUAUUUUUUUAAUCUCAGAUAUAUAAGGUAUUAUUAUUUGUAGUCAACUAUGUAACUUACUUCAGGAACAUAGUUUUUUAGGCGGCUAAACUUAAAACUUCUCUAUCGUAAAGUUGCUCAUUUCACAACAUUAUUUUCAAAAAAUCAUAUCUCUGUAACUACGCAACCUAGAAGGUUGAUCUUUUGUGUUAUCGAUAGCUUAUUUAUUGUAGAUUACUGGGGUAUGCAUAACUCCAUACCCGCCAUAAGGUACCUUUGACCGUGGGACGUCACAUAUGUGUACGUUAAAUUCUACGUAAUUUGGGUGGGUUGGGUUAGGUUUGAACUGCGAUCCUCACAAAACGGAACCGCUAUCAGAAAAGUGGGUUAGGUUAGGUUAGAACUGUGACCCUUACAGAAACGAGAUGCUAUUAGAAAAGUGGGUUAGGUUAGGUUAGAACUGCGAUCCUUACAGAAACGAAAUACUAUGUACUAGAAAAAGGUCACGAAGUGGAUUAAUAAUUUAAUAGAAUAACGAGAUGUAAAAAAAUUGCAUGACAGUUUUAAACUAAAAUGUGGUUUAAAUAUUGGUGGUUAUUUACUAUUUUUAGGAUACUUUGGUGUUAUUUGCUUUAAUAGAAUAGCAAGAUGUAACAAAUUUGGUUAUCAUUUUACAUUAAAAUGGAGUUUUAAUUUUAGUGAUCAUUUAAGUACCUACUACAUAUUUUUGGCAGUAAGAAUGUUUUUUUUGACGUUACUUUUUACUAUAUGUAAUGAUCAGUUAAAUACCAGCCAAAUAAAAUUCUGCAGCCUCCUCUCUAUUGGUAUGUAAAUUGUAUGCCAUGCAAUAUUUUGGGACAUGUAAGUUAU